UACGUAGGGGGCUAGCGUUGUCCGGAAUCAUUGGGCGUAAAGAGCGUGUAGGCGGCCCGGUAAGUCCGCUGUAAAAGUCAAAGGCUCAACCUUUGAAUGUCAGUGGAUACUGCCGGGCUAGAGUCCGGAAGAGGCGAGUGGAACUCCUGGUGUAGCGGUGGAAUGCGCAGAUAUCAGGAAGAACACCAACGGCGAAGGCAGCUCGCUGGAACGGUACUGACGCUGAGACGCGAAAGCGUGGGGAGCGAACAGG
rnacentral:rRNA from 1 species